rnacentral:lncRNA from 1 species
GUCAGCCUAAACUACAUUGCUGUGACGAUGGCUCACAAGGAAGU